rnacentral:lncRNA from 1 species
CCACUGUGAAGAACCAAGGCAACUAAAGAAAAAAACACAAUCCGAGCACAGUGAUUGAAGAACUUUGGACAUUAGCAAGGUCCAGCCAUAUUUGCUCAUGUUGAAAGGAUGAAAUCCAAUUUGAAGCUCUGCAGCUUCUGUCCAGAAUGGCU